rnacentral:lncRNA from 1 species
UUCAAGGAAAACAAUUUAGGAUACCAGACUAUUUACAAUUCCAGCCUCAUUUCCCAAAUAUUAUUCCUGACAGAACAGGGUAAUACAUAGUACAGAUAUCCCAGAAUGUACGCGGUAUUCAUUACCCAGCUCAAUCUCUUCGGUAUAAACCCACCACGAGAGUCUCAACUAAACAAAUAAGCAGAAGAAUCAACAGGUACUAUGUGCCAACAAUCAAGGAAACAACUAUGAAAGCUAAGGCGACAUCCUUCGCCAUCGUCAGCACAUUUGACUGCCAAGACGAAACGGUUCAACUACCUUGCCGACGGCCUGGGUGGCCGGGCUUGUGGCUGCUGGCCCGGAGGCGAAGGGAUAUGGCUCUGAGAAUGCUGUAACAUCUGAACCAUGGAUGGCGUCUGAUAAGAGUGAACAAUGGUGCUGCUCUCUGUCGAGUCUCCGCGCGUCGUCGCUCGCUGCCAGGAAUGCGAACUCAGUCCAGAUAGCAUGUAAGCCCUCCCUGAAGCUUCAUAUAGCUGGCGACUUGCCAUCCUCUCCUGCAUCUCCCUCAGCUCUGCGUCAAGGGCCAAGGACAGACGGUCCCCGCUCCUGCUUGCAAAGGACUCUGAUAAUCUCCUCCGGCAGUCCUCCAGAAUGGUCACAGCCUCAGCGAGAGCACCCCUCUCAGCAGCAGCCCUCGCAGAUUCAAUAGAAUCAGCGGCCUGUAUGCGGUUCCGCUCACGAUCAACCUCAAUGGAUACAUGUUCAGAUAUGGUGGAUGUCGGCCUGUUGAUCUUCACCUCAUCAACUUCAAGCUUGACAGUCUCAUUUGUUAGAUCCCUGUAAGAACAAGCAACCUUUAACAGUGAGGUCUGUUCGCGACACUGCGGGAUGUUCACUGACAGCAAAAUGUCCCUCUCCUCAUCAGCAUACAGAUGACCAAUAUCAACUGAACAGCUCCGCCCAUCCCUUGCCAUCAUGCUUGGGUAGCUACCAGAUUUGAUGGAACAGAGUUGAACACCAGGAUGAACACAUUCCAUGUUGAGUCGCAUCUCCUGUACCACAACACUAAGAAGCCC